GAUGUGAUGAGGUUCUUGCGGAUCUGUAAGCUCUGUUGUUGGGGAAGAACAAGCUACGUAGGAGUAACUGCGCGUACCUUGACGGUACCCAACCAAAAAGCCCCGGCUAACUCCGUGCCAGCAGCCGCGGUAAUACGUAGGGGGCAAGCGUUGUCCGGAAUUAUUGGGCGUAAAGCGCGCGCAGGCGGUUUCUUAAGUCUGAUGUGAAAGCCCCCGGCUCAACCGGGGAAGGGCAUUGGAAACUGGGAGGCUUGAGUGCGGGAGAGGAAAGGGGAAUUCCACGUGUAGCGGUGAAAUGCGUAGAUAUGUGGAGGAACACCGGUGGCGAAGGCGACUCUCUGGCCUGUAACUGACGCUGAGGCGCGAAAGCGUGGGGAGCGAACAGGAUUAGAUACCCUGGUAGUCCACGCCGUAAACGAUGAGUGCUAGGUGUUAGGGGGUUUCCGCACCUUAGUGCUGAAGUUAACGCAUUAAGCACUCCGCCUGGGGAGUACGGCCGCAAGGCUGAAACUCA
rnacentral:rRNA from 1 species